rnacentral:rRNA from 1 species
CCGGUGGCGGAUGGGCAUGCGGCGCAUUAGUUAGUUGGCGGGGUAACGGCCCACCGAGGCGACGAUGCGUAGGGGUUCUGAGAGGAAGGUCCCCCACACUGGUACUGAGACACGGACCAGACUCCUACGGGAGGCAGCAGUGAGGAAUAUUGGUCAAUGGGCGCGAGCCUGAACCAGCCAAGUCGCGUGAGGGAUGACGGUCCUACGGAUUGUAAACCUCUUUUGCCGGGGAGCAAGCGUGCGUUCGUGAACGCGCGUCGAGAGUACCCGGAGAAAAAGCAUCGGCUAACUCCGUGCCAGCAGCCGCGGUAAUACGGAGGAUGCGAGCGUUAUCCGGAUUUAUUGGGUUUAAAGGGUGCGUAGGCGGGAUGCCAAGUCAGCGGUAAAAAUGCGGUGCUCAACGCCGUCGAGCCGUUGAAACUGGCGUUCUUGAGUGGGCGAGAAGUAUGCGGAAUGCGUGGUGUAGCGGUGAAAUGCAUAGAUAUCACGCAGAACUCCGAUUGCGAAGGCAGCAUACCGGCGCCCUACUGACGCUGAGGCACGAAAGCGUGGGUAUCGAACAGGAUUAGAUACCCUGGUAGUCCACGCAGUAAACGAUGAAUGCUAACUGUCCGGCUCGAAUGAGCGCUGG